AACGCGAAGAACCUUACCCAGGCUCGAAAUGCAGAUGGCGAUACCAGAGAUGGUAUUUUCCGUAAGGACGUCUGUAUAGGUGCUGCAUGGCUGUCGUCAGCUCGUGCCGUGAGGUGUUGGGUUAAGUCCCGCAACGAGCGCAACCCUUAUCAUUAGUUGCCAACACUCUGGUGGGGACUCUAAUGAGACUGCCUAGGUUAACUAGGAGGAAGGUGAGGAUGACGUCAAGUCCGCAUGGCCUUUAUGUCUGGGGCUACACACGUGCUACAAUGGUCGGUACAGAAGGCAGCAAGACCGCAAGGUGGAGCAAAUCCGAAAAACCGAUCUCAGUUCAGAUUGUAGUCUGCAACUCGACUACAUGAAGCCGGAAUUGCUAGUAAUGACGUGUCAGCAACAGCGUCGUGAAUACGUUCCCGGGCCUUGUA
rnacentral:rRNA from 1 species